GACGAACGCUGGCGGCGUGCUUAACACAUGCAAGUCGAACGGUAAGGCCCUUCGGGGUACACGAGUGGCGAACGGGUGAGUAACACGUGGGUGAUCCGCCCUGCACUUCGGGAUAAGCCUGGGAAACUGGGUCUAAUACCGGAUAGGACUCCUGGCUUCAUGGUUGGGGGUGGAAAGCUUUUGCGGUGUGGGAUGGGCCCGCGGCCUAUCAGCUUGUUGGUGGGGUAAUGGCCUACCAAGGCGACGACGGGUAGCCGGCCUAAGAGGGUGACCGGGCACACUGGGACUGAGAGACGGCCCAGACUCCUACGGGAGGCAGCAGUGGGGAAUAUUGCACAAUGGGCGCAAGCCUGAUGCAGCGACGCCGCGUGAGGGAUGACGGCCUUCGGGUUGUAAACCUCUUCCAGCUAUGACGAAGCGCAAGUGACGGUAGUAGCAGAAGAAGGACCGGCCAACUACGUGCCAGCCGCCGCGGUAA
rnacentral:rRNA from 1 species